AACAGGAAGAGCAGAAGGUUGGGAUGAGGUGAAUUGGGAUAAAAGUACUCUGAGUUCUGGAUUUAACUGAGGAAGUUCUUCCAUUUCUCUGCCAGGAGGAUUAAUGAAGAGAUUCAAGUCCUUUGGACAGGGAUGCUAUCUCCUGAGCAAUACACCAACCGUGCUCUCAAAGGAUAAAGGUCGGGCAUGACCUGUGUCAUGGUGGACUAAGACAAAGGGAAUGUGUUUAAACCCAUGCAUUUAAGUCCAGGAGUCAUAUCUGGAGAACGUGAACAUGGAAACAAUACUUCUUCAACCCUGUUCUGUUUCCCAGUGUGUUAACAGCCUCCACGAUGGUCUGUGCAUGAAUUAGCCAUGUCCCCAUACUCAACCUCCCAGGUAAAGC
rnacentral:lncRNA from 1 species